rnacentral:lncRNA from 1 species
GCAGUCAUUAAAGAAUGUUAGCCAGGUGCAGUGGUGCACGCCUUUAAUCCCAGCACUUUGGGAGGUGGAGGUGGGUGGAUCGCCUGAGGUCAGGAGUUUGAGACCAACCUAGCCAACAUUGUGAAACCCUGUCUCUACGAAAACUACAAAAAUUAGCCAGGUGUGGUGGCACGCAUGCCUGUAAUCCCAGCUACUUGGGAGGCUGAGGCAGGAGAAUCGCUUGAACCCGGGAGGCAGAGGUUGUAGUGAGCCGAGAUCACACCACUGCACUCCAGCCUGGGCGAUAGAGUGAGACUCCGUCUCAAAAAAAAAAAAAAGAAUGUCAACUGCUCCUGGCUCUGCAGAGGUAUGGCCCAGGUGACAGGGCUAUUGAGAGGCCAAAGGGACCCUGAUCAGCCAGUGGUGUCUUUGGAAUAGGUGCUGCAAGCUCUGGGAGGUGCUACUGCGCACCAGAAGGUUGGUGAGUUGGCCAAGGGUGUGGAGCUGGCUCCAGAGGGGAAGGAACAAAGGGAAGGGACCCUCUGGGAGCUGGAGAGACUUGGGAGCCUGGAGGCAGGAAUUCCCUGCCAUUGCCUGAGGCCUGGUUUGGAAAGUACAAUGCAGUUUUGGCAUGGUGGUUGCUGGCCUGGAAUGUGGUGGGGUGAAGAGCGUGGUGGAAGGACACACUGAGUUCCUGACCAUCCAGCAACAAAGGAGCAAAAAGACCUUGGAAUCCAUGAGAAGCUGAGGACACUCAUGUUUGCAGAAAUGUUUUCAUUUUCAUUUAGAUCCCCCUUCUGUUUGAUAUUAGCAAAAGUAACAAUGCACUGUUUAUAUCCCAUCUGUUGUUGGCGUCAAAGAAUUCUUAUGGCCAUGGAAUUGAUCAUGAAGAGGAACAAGGAGAGUCAUGAAAAGAUGAAAACUAUUCUGUUAAAUGCCUUUGUAAUCAAACUACUGGAUCUGAGAAAAAAAGUACCAACUGAAUUUCCAUGUAUUUAAAAUUUUUUGUGUGUGAAAACAUAUAGCAAUUGGAAAUCUGUCAAGGCAAGUAAAAAACUUUUCCCAAUGUUAAUGAAAUUUGACUCAUGAUAUUUAUCUACAAGACAUAAAAAUAUAGAUGGAUCCCAGAUACUCAGGAGGCUGAGGCAGCAGGAUCACUGGAGCCCAGGAGUUCGUACUGGUGGAGAAAAACAUUACUCACGUGGUGACAAAGUACCAGGCAGUUGUAAUGCACAGCCAGAGUUAAGAUUCCCUGCUCCUUAAAAGGGGUUCCCAGACUCGCAGCAUAUCGGCGUCACUGGCAGACCCACUGCGUCAGCAUGUGCAGCUGAACCAUGUCCCAGCAGGGAGAGGAUGUACAAACCCUGAAGAACAGAGGCAAACAUUUCAUUGUGGACAAAUGCUGUGAAGGAAGAGGACACAGCUCUUGAGUGUCCAUACUUGGGACUCUGUGCGCUUAGGGUGCCUGCUUUACCUGCCUGUCUGCUGUCAUCAGAAAGCUCGAG